GGGCCCGUAGCUCAGCCUGGAUAGAGCGGCAGCCCCCUAAGUGGGGUUACACAUCGGAGUCAGCUGUGGGAGAUUGACAAAAGUCUCCGGCUAGAGGUCGUGGGUUCGAAUCCCACCGGGCCCG
rfam:Crenarchaeota archaeon 13_1_40CM_3_52_4 13_1_40cm_3_scaffold_6737, whole genome shotgun sequence.